CAUACACCAUGCAGUGGCAUGUACACAUGCUAGGCAUCAUUGGAGUGCCAACACAUAGAUGGCACACACAUGUAGGUAGUGGCAUGUGAACACGCUAGGCAUCAUUGGAGUGCCAGGCAGGUACGUGUUGCAGGUAGAUGGCACAUGCAUGUAGGUAGUGGCAUGUGAACACGCUAGGCGUCAUUGGAGUGCCAGGCAGGUGCGUGUUGCAGGUCGAUGGCACAUGCGUGCAGGCAGUGGCAUGUGCACACGCUAGGCAUCAUUGGAGUGCCAGGCAGGUGCGUGUUACAGGUAGAUGGCACACACAUGUAGGUAGUGGCGUGUGCACACGCUAGGCGUCAUUGGAGUGCCAGGCAGGUGCAUGUUGCAGGUAGAUGGCACACACAUGUAGGUAGUGGCAUGUGAACACGCUAGGCGUCACUGGAGUGCCAGGCAGGUGCGUGUUGCAGGUAGAUGGCACACACAUGUAGGUAGUGGCAUGUGAACAUGCUCGGCGUCAUUGGAGUGCCAGGCAGGUGCGUGUUGCAGGUAGACGGCACACGCGUGCAGGCAGUGCCGGGUCAGUGUGUGUUGCAGGUCGAUGGCACACAUGCAGGUGACAGGUGUGCACAUGCUAGGCAUCGGCAUUGCAUAAGCACAUGGUCUGUUUUCUCGUUCCGUCGUACCAGCAGCCCUUGAGAGGUAGUGAUCUAAAAAUGAGGACCUGGUGGGGGCGGAGGCCAGGUGACUUGGGGAUCAGUUUAGGGGGGCGGAUCAGAGCCAAGGUACUGGGCCUAAAUCAUGGCUCUGCCCGAGGGUGACCCUGGACAAGUCACUUUCAUUCUCUGCCUUUGUUUGUUUCCUCAUCCGUGCAGUGGAGUCAGUGAGACGGCUUUGUAUUGCGAGCGAGGAUUAAAUGAGCUGCCGAUGGGAAGUGUGCAGGGCAGGGCCUGGCACCACGAGCCCGUGUGCGCACGGGCUGUGGUCUUUAUUGCCUGGGCCAUGGUCAUUUGUUUCCCACACAAUCCCACACUCAGGGUGUGGUCUACAGCCCUAGGCUGGUUUGCAGACUCUCGGUUCCUGGUCCGUGAUGAGCUGUGCGUAGAGACUUAGGGUAAAUGUUUAGCAACCUUGAGAAUAGCUUACCCUUGCUGGGACUCAGCGAGCACACGGCUUCAGGUGCUGUUGGAUCACGCGGUGAGUGCCAUGUGGCGUGGGUCACAGGACCACAGGACUGCAGACAAGAGGGUGGCAAGAUCAGAGGGGGCUUGCGUCACUGCUGCCCACCUCUGGACAGCCAGCCUCCUGUGGGGAGCCUCAGCCAGCAGCAGCAGGGGGCAUGGACAGCAUGUUGUGGGCCAGUACGUGGCGACUCCAGGCGGUGAGGUCCCGUGAUGGAGACUUUUAUUAAUGAGCAGUUGUCUCUGUUUCACUCCUGUGACGGGUGCUUUUCUCGUCUCUCCCCUGGCAGGUGUGGUUCAGGCGGCCUUCCACUCAGGAAGGCACAGGAUCCCUUUCUACCUCUUAGACUGAUGGGGACUGGAAGCUGGAAACUGUCGGUGGCAGGUGGGUGUGCCACCCCUGCUGCACGGCUGUCCUGAGCCACCAGCUCCUGUUUCUGCAGGGCCCGCGGGGAAGGUCCAGGAUGCUCACGGCAGUGCCGCAGGAGGGGUGUAGAGGGUGGAGAGCAGGGCAGGCCGCCAGUGCGACCGUGAUGUGUCUUGAAGCCCAGCGGUGCUCAGGGGAAGGUAAAAAAUGCGGCGAGAUGGGUAAGGCAGAGCUGGUAUGUAAAUGAAUGCAGAAACAGUGCCCUGGGUUGCACGAGCAGAAAGGAGCAGACAGACAGAAGAGGAGGGGCGCCCAUAGGCGCAGGAAGGGAAAUGAGAAGUAAAAGGAAACACGAGAGGGAGCGGAGAAGACACGCUGCUAUCUUUGAGGCAGGGCCCUCGGCUGUCACUCGGCUCCUGGCACCGUGGCGUCUGUGUGUCUGGGCAGAGCUGGCAACCUCAGCGUGGCCUCAGUAGGGUAAUCCGCGGUGUCAGAGGCUGAGAAAGGCUGGGGGUGGGCAGCGUGGUUCAUGGCACAGGUGGCACACUAGGGACAUGGAUGAUUUUAAUGAUCUAGGUGAUUGCAGGAGCAACAGGUGACCUGGUCUUUGAUUAGUUUACUUUUACUUUUUUUUUUAUUUUUUUUAUUUACUUGAGAGGCAGACAGAGGAAGAGAUAGAGAUGAACAGGUGGAAGAGUGAGCUUCUGUCUGGUGGUUCACUCUCCAAAUGCUCACAACAACUGGGGCUGAAGCCUGGAGCUCGGAACUCGAUCCAGGUCUCCCGCGUGCGAUGGCUAAGAUCCAGUUGUCUGAGCUGUCGCUGCUGCUGCCUCCCAGGACAUUAGGAGGUGGAGUUAGGAGCCAGAGCUCGUCCCCAGGCCGAGAAUGCUCUUUUAUUAUUGUCCUGAAUGUCUCUGGAUUUUUAUCUACUUUAAAGGCAGCACGACAGAGUGAGAGCGAGAGAGCGAGCAAGAGAGAGAGAGAGAAUCUUCUAUCUGCUGGUUCACUCCCAGAUGCCUGUAAUAGCCAGGGCUGAGCCAAGCUGAAGUCAGGAGCCAAGAACUCUAUUUGGGUCUGGCAUGUGGCCCAAGCACUUGAGCCAUUGUCUCCUGCCUCCUAGGAUGGGAAGUGGAGUAGCCAGGACUUGAACCAGGCACUCUGACAUGUGACACGGGCAUCCCAAGUGGCAGCUAAGCCUGCCGGGCUGAACGCCUGCCCCAAACCCAGGCACCUUAACCGCGAGGCCAAAUACCCGCCCGUAGUGCGCAUGUGCGUCAGUGAUGCAUACUCUUACCCUGGCCCUAGUGGAAAUUCUGGGUGGUCACCCCUCCAGGCAGUCAGUUAGGAAAACAUGUGCUCAGUUCCUUGUGCUGUGGACUGCAGGUCAUGGGACACGUAGGACGGGGACACAGGAGGCAAAAUUUGCUUUAGGAAGGGGAAAUCCCAUGUGGCAUCAGGAGCAGCGUUCUUUCGGGGAGACAGCGCGCUCCUGCUGGUGGAGCGGCGGGGGGUGCCUCCACCAGUUCCUCGUCCCCGCCACCUGCGGCCCUUGCAGCUCUAACUGAGCUGGGCUUCGGACUUUAGAUUUGGGGCUGGCAAUUCAAAGCAAACGAAACAAAAUAUUACAAUAGGGUGAGUGUCCCUCACAAGAAACACAGGAGACCAGAAGUGUUCCAGAUUCCGGGACAUCGGUGUAGACCCUACCCGUGAGGCAUCCCUGCUCUGCAAAUCCAGAAUCUGCAGCCUCCGAAACCCAAGACCCUCUGAGCGUCGGGUCGGGGCUCUGCAGCUUCUGGAUUUUGCACCUUACUGGAUUGUGGGUUUUCAGAGUAGGGACCCUCAGCCUGUAUGCGAUUAACCAAGUUAUUGUAGAGCAUUUAGAAAACGCUGGGGACAAAACAGAGCAGCAGUUGUAGGUAACGUUAUUAACCAGAGAUAGCCACUGGAGGCUUUCUCUCUCUCUUUUUUUGAUCAUAGCAUGAAAAGGGAGGUGGCUCUUUGGGGUAGCAGCUGAGACGCGGCGUGGGACACCCAAAUCCCAUCCUGGAGUUGCCUGGGUUUAAGUGCUUGCCCUGUGCCUGAUUCCAGCUUCCUGCUACUGUGCAUCCCGGGAGGCAGCAGUGGUGGUGGAAGGCUUGGGUCCCGGCCACUCAUGGGAGAAUGAGAUUGAGCUCCUGGCUCCUGGCUUCAGCCUGGCCCAGCUCUGGCUGUUGCAGGCAUUUGUAUAGGAAGACGGGACAGCUCUGAUCAGUGAACCCGUGGAUGAGAUCUCUCUCUACCCCCUGUCUGUCUCUGUCUCUGCCUUUCCAACAGAUAAGAAAAAUAAAUAGAUUUAGAGAGUAAAAAGGUGGUCUUUUUUUUUUUUUUUAAAAAAAAGACUUAUUUAUUUUUUUGAAAUGCAGAGUUACAGAGAGAGAGAGAGAGAUCAAUCGAUCGAUCGAUCAAUCUUCCAUCUGCUGGUUCACUGCCCAAAUGGCUACAACUACUGCGGCUAGGCCAGGCCAAAACCAGGAGCCAGGAGCUUCUUCCAGGUCUCCCACAUGGGUACAGGGGCCCGAGCACUUGUGCCAUUUUCCUCUGCUUUUCCCAGGUGCAUUAGCAGGGUGUCGGAUUGGAAGUGGAGCAGCCGGGACUCAAGCCAGUGCCCAUAUGGGAUGCUGGUGCUGUAGGUCCUGGCUUAACCUGCUGUGCUACAGUGCCAGCCCCCAGGGGGUUGUUUUUAAUGAGUGCCCUGUCAAGAUUAAUGUCCCCAGUUCCCCUUGACCAGAGAUCAGAGCUGUCCCGUCUUCCUGUACAAAGGGCACCGCAGUGCAGCCCUGCAUUCACAGGUCUCUGUCCACCUCUUUGUCUCUUCACACUGAGACCGGGCCAGGGGUGCUGUGGGCAUCAGAGGUGUGGACGUGGCUGAGGCUGUGCAUACAAGUUGCCCGGCUGCCCCGUGCUGAUCCUGAGUCGCUGCCGGGUUUCUCAAGGUGUGCUCUUCGCAUGGCUCCUUCAGAACCCCCUGGGCAGCUUCUAGAAGGCGACUCUGGGGUCGGGUCCCCAGGAGGUCGUUUGCACAGAGGCCUUUGGGAAGUGGCACAUGGUGUCUGUACCUGCCCGGGAAGGGACGCAGACAGGCCACACCUGUUCCCUCGCACCUGAGGCAGCGCCGCCACUUGAGGCCUGGUCCAGGGACAGCCAGGCCGGGAGACCGUAGCUGGGAGAUGCGGCUCUGCGGGCCUCUUUCCUCAGACGGAAGUGGGGGCUUCGCGGUGGCUGUCUGGCAUGUGUCUUACCAGUGUCCCCAGGGGAGACGGCCCUCACAGCUGGCUUUGGGGCGAACGUCUGGAGAAGUGGGUCAGGACAGAGAGCUCCUCGCUCUGCCCCUCCCUAGGGAGCCAGCUGUUGGCCCGGGCCCACCCAGGCCCUGGCAUCUCUCCAGGUCGGCAGAGGAGCUGUCUGUGUGCCUCGGCUGGUGCCUAGGUUUGAGGGUGUCAGGUGGUGUGGGGGCGCCACUCAGCCAACGUGGGGAGGACGCAGAGGACGCCCCAGGAUGCCUCUGGUGCUGCCGCUCGUAGCUGCACAGUCUCUGUCCUGGAGGCCAAGGCCUCACUGUGUGGGGCGUGCUGCUUCCUUGCACUGGGCUGGGGAGGCCAGGUGAGUCGCCCAGGGGCAGGCAGCCGAGGAGGCGCUGUCUGGCAGGUGCAAGCCGCGGGGCUGCUCUGCACGGCUGCUCACGCCUGCUCUGCCUGCCCUCUGUCUCCUGGGGUGUGCUCCUUGGCGUAUUCACACAGCCGUGCUGUGGCGGUGUCAGCGAGUGAACGGCCCACACGAGGAGCCCACGGCAGUGAGCUGGGCCCUGAUGUGCCGGGCCCAUCCAAGGAAGGGAGCGUGGGCUGAGGGCCAGCCUGCUGAGGGAGGUAGCUUCAGAGCCGGGCUUUGAGGGCUGGGUUGAAGUCCGUCAGGUGCCAGGGAGACGCCUUCUGGGCAGGGGGAGCAGGAGCCCAUGGGUGAGGCGGGAAGAGCCAGGCCUGCUGGGUGGCUGUGGACACGGGGGUGAAUGGAAGGUGGCCUGGCUGGGAAGGGUUGGAGGAGCUGAGCUGAGGGAGGAAGGAGUGCCCGUGCCGCGCUGGCCUCCGUGUGUGUUUCCCUUGCUUCUGGGCCGUGUGGCUCCCACAGGUCGCCGGCUAUCCGGGAGCCUUGGCUGUGUCCCCCGUAUGACGCAGGCAAUGGGGCAGCUUGAAAAGGAGUUUGUGUUGGUGAUGUGAGCCACAUGAGUACGUGGCAGGGAACUGGGCGUGCAGUCAGAUGCGCAGUAAGCACUUGUCUCCUUCUUUGAAUGUUGGGGUGGGACCGGGUGACUUUCCCGUGCUGAGCCACAGGGAGCCCGGAAGGCUGUGGCGUGUGGAGUUGAUAAGCUAAUGCCCCUUUGCUGUCAUGCCUGAAGAUGACGGUGGUGGUCUCGUGGGGGUACUCUGGGGGUGUAGGGUGGUGGGCGGGAUGCAUGGGCCAAGGCCAGGCUGAGGGGAAGCGUCUUGCCCAUCACAGGCAGCCUGCUGGGGCGGGGCUGCUGCUGUGCACUGCUGGUGCUCUGGGCACAGGUUCUGGAGGGAGAGGCCAAGGCUUGAGCUGUGGUCUGGUGAGGCCUAGCCGCUCCAAAGGGAUCCUGGGUAACCGGGCACUAGCUGAGUGGGAGUGGGAUGCAUGGCAGGAAGCCGGGCCACGAUGGCCGUCGUGCAGCAUCAUGGUGGCCAUAGCCAGCGUUUAUCCAGCUCUUACUGUGUGUGCCUGGAAAGUGUUCGUGGUUCAUCUCUUUUUUUUUUUUUUUUUGGACAGGCAGAGUGGACAGUGAGAGAGAGACAGAGAGAAAGAGAGAAAGGUCUUCCUUUUGCCGUUGGUUCACCCUCCAAUGGCUGCUGCGGCCGGCGCAUUGUGCUGAUCUGAAGCCAGGAGCCAGGUGCUUCUCCUGGUCUCCCAUGUGGGUGCAGGGCCCAAGGACUUGGGCCAUCCUCUACUGCACUCCCGGGCCACAGCAGAGGGCUGGCCUGAAAGAGGGGCAACUGGGACAGAGUCCGGCACCCUGACUGGGACUAGAACCCGGUGUGCUGGCGCUGCAAGGCGGAGGAUUAGCCUAGUGAGCCGCGGCGCCGGCCUUGUGGUUCAUCUCAACCGGACCUCCCAGCAACCCUGAGAUCCAGGUGCUUGCAAGGACACGCGUGAGAGCCCAUGGUGCGGCAGAAAUGACCUCACCAUGUCUUAGUGUCGCUGCUCCGGCCUGGGGGACCACGGAGACCUCAGACAUCAGCCUGCGGGUGGGCACGGGGGGCAGCUUGGCCAGGAAGUCGUCAGCAGGUGUGGAGGAGCAGCCCCUGCUGGCUUCCCCUGCCCGCUCAGUAGCCAGCAGCUGUCCCGGAGCUGCACACCUCUGUGCUGCAUCUGGGGAGGGGGCGAUCCCAGGACCCACUCGUGCCAGGGCUGGCCUUGAGCCAGAGCCCUUCCUCCUGGGGUCUUCCCGUGACCUUGCCCCGCAUCGCACCGCCGCUUCCUCCCCUGCCCCACCUGCCGGCUGGGCCUCCCAGACGUGCACAGGCCUGUCGGGAGCCAGGCCUUGGAGGGGCAGGGGCCACUUCCUCUGGAGCAUGGGCAAGCUCAGGCUUGAAGGCGCAGAUCUGGGGCCCAGCCUCGUGACUCGUGCCCUCAGGAGCUGCUCCUGCGCGGGUGCCAGGUGGUGUCCUCCGGGGGUCGGAUUAAAAGAUAACUCUUGGCAGGAAGCAGCAGGCCUCUGCUGGCCUUACUAAGCAGGCCUGGGCGGCUCAGCGCGCCAUCUCCUGGGCCCUGCUCCUGGCUGCCUCUGCCUCUCCUGCUCCCCCGUGCUGUCCCUCUGCUGCACGCCCGCCCUGGAGCCCAGGCAGGCAGCCCCGCCCCGUGCGCCUCACCUUGUCACCAACCUCCCUUCGCUUCCCUUUCCCUCCCGCCUUCUUCGUGAAGAGCAAAGUCCCAGAGAAUCGCAGCCUCGAGGUGUGGUGGGAGGUGGAGAUGCGGAAGCGGAGAGCAGGGCCCCCUCGCUGGGCCUGAGUGUGGCGCUGGGUGAGUCGAGUGUCAUUCGUCACCAGCAAUGACUGCUGGGAGGAAGGUGUUUGUCUGAGGCCAGGGCUUCCUGGCAGCAGUGCUGGCCGUGAGUUGGCCCGGAUGGCCCCCGUUCCUGGACUGUGCGUGGGACAUGUGUGGGUCUCUGGGAGGCCCACAGGGCUGUGCUGGCCUUGGGCAGUGGGGACGGAGAGGGCGGCCCUGUGGGAAUGCCUGCCACCCUCGGGUAGCCCAAAAUGCUGUGACGUGUUUUCAGACUUCUUCCCCAUGUCUCCGUCUUGGUGUAGACCCUCACUUUGGGAAUCAUAUACCUUCAUUGUUUGACCCUGCCAUUAGGAAGCGGUACCAUAGAUUCUCUGUCUCUCUCUCUCUCUCUUUUAAAGUUGCUCUUUAUGUAUUUUCCUAAACAUUAAUUUUCUAAGAGAGAAGAUUCUUUUAGGAAUAUUUUCCAGGGCCUGCACUGUGGCUCAGCAGGUUAAUGCUCUGGCCUGAAGUGCUAGCAUCUCAUAUGGGCACCGGUUCGAGACCCAGCUGCUCCACUUCCGAUCCAGCUCUCUGCUAUGGCCUGGGAUAGCAGUAGAAGAUGAUCCAAGUCCUUGGGCUCCUGCAUCCAUGUGGGAGACCCAGAAG